rnacentral:rRNA from 1 species
UACGUAGGGUGCAAGCGUUAAUCGGAAUUACUGGGCGUAAAGCGUGCGCAGGCGGCUAUGCAAGACAGAUGUGAAAUCCCCGGGCUCAACCUGGGAACUGCAUUUGUGACUGCAUGGCUAGAGUACGGUAGAGGGGGAUGGAAUUCCGUGUGUAGCAGUGAAAUGCGUAGAUAUGCGGAGGAACACCGAUGGCGAAGGCAAUCCCCUGGACCUGUACUGACGCUCAUGCACGAAAGCGUGGGGAGCAAACAGG